rnacentral:rRNA from 1 species
AUUGAACGCUGGCGGCAUGCUUUACACAUGCAAGUCGAACGGUAACAGGCCGCAAGGUGCUGACGAGUGGCGAACGGGUGAGUAAUGCAUCGGAACGUGCCCAGUCGUGGGGGAUAACGCAGCGAAAGCUGCGCUAAUACCGCAUACGAUCUAUGGAUGAAAGCGGGGGACCGUAAGGCCUCGCGCGAUUGGAGCGGCCGAUGUCAGAUUAGGUAGUUGGUGGGGUAAAGGCUCACCAAGCCAACGAUCUGUAGCUGGUCUGAGAGGACGACCAGCCACACUGGGACUGAGACACGGCCCAGACUCCUACGGGAGGCAGCAGUGGGGAAUUUUGGACAAUGGGCGCAAGCCUGAUCCAGCAAUGCCGCGUGCAGGAAGAAGGCCUUCGGGUUGUAAACUGCUUUUGUACGGAACGAAACGGUCCUGGUUAAUACCCGGGGCUAAUGACGGUACCGUAAGAAUAAGCACCGGCUAACUACGUGCCAGCCGCCGCCGUAACAC